AAGAGAAUGCAGCUGGCCCCCGAGCAAGCCCUCCCUCCAUCGCCUGCUGGCUCCUUCCCCCCCUGGCAGAGCGUGCAACUACGUGCACCGCAGGGCUGGGGAUGUGGCAUUCAAGCUGGGAUGUUGCACGCUGCCUUACUUCUUGCCUGGUGCAUCAGUGCCAUCAUCAGGGUGGCUGAAAAACAGAAGUUCCACGUGACUAACUGCUGGUAUCUGCGCUGAAGCAAAACUGGAAGACUGAACAAUGUUAAUGAAAUAACAUGAAGUGCGCCUUUCAAGAUAACCACGCAGCUGGCAAACAAGAGACUUGGCUGGGAAUGUGAGAGGCUUUGUUGAGAUCCUUGCCCUGGGUACUUGCUGCUGGCUUGCUGUGUUGGACCUGGGAAAUGGCUGUGCUUCUUUGCAAAGCGCUAGUGGAUUAAUUUUUCUGUGUAGGAAUGGCAUUUUCUCAAUGGAAAAAGUAUGUGAUGAGCUCCAGUUUGGCACCAGAAAGGUCCAAAUGAAGUAACAGUCUGGCUCACCUGGAAAUAUUUCUGGAUUUACAACUUUUCACAGCCCCCUAUACCUGAUGGGAUGAAGCAAGAACUAAAGAGCAACUUGUUCUGUUCUGAAAUAGCUCAAUUACUGCAGCGAGUGCACUACCAAAUGUGGACUGAGCAAGUCACAACCGUUAGAGUUAUAAAAAGAGAGAUGACAAUCUCUAAUCUAAAUCAGAUCUUAAAAGAUCAAUCAGUGAUUGUCCCUAUCAUCAGUAGUAACUUCAUCUCACUCUGAGCUGCUUUGAUGCCAGAGUAAGUCUGACAUAAGAACACAGAUCUGAAUUCAAAUGGGGAAUCAAGAAGGUAUUUCUCGCUUGAUUUUGCUUCUCAACCUGAGCUAUAGGGAAUGUUUAUUAGAAAUGUGUUCCUAGCUUCUUUGAUAGUAAUUCAAAACUCCCCUUGUCUGUAUGUGCUUUCCGUGCUUCUUGCUAGAAAUUAGUCUUUUUAAGGUUUACCAGUCAGGUAUUUUUAACUGAAAAGGUUAAAACAAAAGCCAACAAACAACAAACCAGAUAUAUUUCUGGCUGUCUGCCCACUGAAGGGCCUCCCCCGUGCCGGGUGCAGGGGACCCCACUCCAUUCCCAGCUGCUCCCGAGCCGAGCAGGGCUGCCAGCAGCGCUUGCCCUGUCCUUAGAGAGCCCUAAAAGAGAAAAAGUGAUCCUAUAAACACAAGCACAGAAAAGAUACCGGGUGCCUGUGCUGUUGUUUAUACAUUUAGAUACUAUGAUUAAAUUACAUACAUAAUGCAUAGUGUUUGUAAUACAUUAUUAAUAAUAAUAAUACUGUCUUGUAUUAUUUGGCUAGAAGAGGCAUGCUCCGAGUGAUGGUUCAUUGGUCUAUUCACACACAAUUUUCAUACAUCUCUAAAGAUUACCAUUUUAACAGCUUUCUGUAUGGAUACUGCCAGGCAGUUACAUUUAACAGUGCAUAAAUCUAAUUCCCUCUGCACUCAAUUUUCUCAGGCAGCAGAAUCAAUUUAAAUCUGUCAGGAUUUUAUUCUAAAGUCUAUUAAUGACUCCUGCCUUUUUCUGUAUUUUUUUCCUCUGUCUCUCUCUUAACAAUCUCACUCUUUCAUGAAUUCAUUCAGCUGCAGAAAAAGAUGCCCCACUGAUACAAACAGUCUUUUAUCUCUUUACAACAGAAACCUAAUUAGGUGUGAAGGAGACACAAGGAAGGUCACAAUUAGCCCUCUAGCAAUAAAGGUUAACAGUUGUGAAAUUCCGUAAUAAUG
ensembl:lncRNA